rnacentral:rRNA from 1 species
GAUGAACGCUGGCGGCGUGCCUAAUACAUGCAAGUCGAGCGAACAGACGAGGAGCUUGCUCCUCUGACGUUAGCGGCGGACGGGUGAGUAACACGUGGAUAACCUACCUAUAAGACUGGGAUAACUUCGGGAAACCGGAGCUAAUACCGGAUAACAUGUUGAACCGCAUGGUUCAACAGUGAAAGACGGUCUUGCUGUCACUUAUAGAUGGAUCCGCGCCGCAUUAGCUAGUUGGUAAGGUAACGGCUUACCAAGGCAACGAUGCGUAGCCGACCUGAGAGGGUGAGCGACCACACUGGAACUGAGACACGGUCCAGACUCCUACGGGAGGCAGCAGUAGGGAAUCUUCCGCAAUGGGCGAAAGCCUGACGGAGCAACGCCGCGUGAGUGAAGAAGGUCUUCGGAUCGUAAAACUCUGUUAUUAGGGAAGAACAAAUGUGUAAGUAACUAUGCACGUCCUGACGGUACCUAAUCAGAAAGCACGGCUAACUACGUG